UACGUAGGGUGCAAGCGUUGUCCGGAAUUAUUGGGCGUAAAGAGCUCGUAGGCGGUUUGUUGCGUCGGCUGUGAAAUCCCGAGGCUCAACCUCGGGUCUGCAGUCGAUACGAGCAAACUAGAGUGUUGCAGGGGAGACUGGAAUUCCUGGUGUAGCGGUGAAAUGCGCAGAUAUCAGGAGGAACACCGGUGGCGAAGGCGGGUCUCUGGGCAACAACUGACGCUGAGGAGCGAAAGCCGUGGGGGAGCGAACAGG
rnacentral:rRNA from 1 species